AUUGAACGCUGGCGGAAUGCCUUUACACAUGCAAGUCGAACGGGCAGCACGGACUUCGGUCUGGUGGCGAGUGGCGAACGGGUGAGUAAUAUAUCGGAACGUGCCCAGUCGUGGGGGAUAACGUAGUGAAAAUUACGCUAAUACCGCAUACGAUCUAAGGAUGAAAGCGGGGGAUCGCAAGACCUCGCGCGAUUGGAGCGGCCGAUAUCAGAUUAGGUAGUUGGUGAGGUAAAGGCUCACCAAGCCCGCGAUCUGUAGCUGGUCUGAGAGGACGACCAGCCACACUGGAACUGAGACACGGUCCAGACUCCUACGGGAGGCAGCAGUGGGGAAUUUUGGACAAUGGACGCAAGUCUGAUCCAGCCAUUCCGCGUGCAGGAUGAAGGCCCUCGGGUUGUAAACUGCUUUUGUACGGAACGAAAAGGUCUCUCCUAAUACGAGGGGCUCAUGACGGUACCGUAAGA
rnacentral:rRNA from 1 species